rnacentral:rRNA from 1 species
CUUUUGACCUCAAAUCAGGUAGGACUACCCGCUGAACUUAA